rnacentral:lncRNA from 1 species
GUAAAUGAAAAAAAUAAGAACUAAACAAGUGAAACUGCGAGCUACUGCUCACUGAUGAUACCCCCGCCGCAAGUGGAUAAUAUUAAUAGUGUAAAAAUAUGCAAGUGUUCGGUAAACAGGAAGUUGUCGAGUGAUGAAUCUGAAAACGCAUCACACGGUAUAGCUGACUUAUAUAAAUCCUGAAACCAAAUUUCAGAAAUCCUUGUAUUGUAGUUCCUGAGAAAAAUGUGACGAAAAUUUUUAACUUGGUUAUCAUGUGUAAAAUCAUACAAGUGUUCGGUAAACAGGAAGUUGUCGAGUGAUGAAUCUGAAAACGCAUCACACGGUAUAGCUGACUUAUAUAAAUCCUGAAACCAAAUUUCAGAAAUCCUUGUAAUGUAGUUCCUGAGAAAAAUGUGACGAAAAUUUUCAACUUGGCUAUCAUGUGUAAAAUCAUACAAGUGUUUCGGUAAACAGGAAGUUGUCGAGUGAUGAAUCUGAAAACGCAUCACACGGUAUAGCUGACUUAUAUAAAUCCUGAAACCAAAUUUCAGAAAUCCUUGUAUUGUAGUUCCUGAGAAAAAUGUGACGAAAAUUUUCAACUUGGCUAUCAUGUGUAAAAUCAGACAAGUGUUCGGUAAACAGGAA